AAGCACCAACCUACUCGACCCUUCAGCCAGCAUCGUGCUCCUAGCCUUAAUUGGCCGGGUCGUGUUUCCGGCAUCGUUACUUUGAAGAAAUUAGAUUCCUCAAAGCAAGCCAUUUCCCUGGAUACAUUAGCAUGGGAUAACAUCAUAGGAUAUCGGUCCUAUUGUGUUGGCCUUCGGGAUCGGAGUAAUGAUUAAUAGGGACAGUCGGGGGUAUUUGUAUUUCAUAGUCAGAGGUGAAAUUCUUGUAUUUAUGGAAGAUGAACAACAGCGAAAGCAUUUGCUAAGGAUGUUUUCAUUAAUCAAGAACAAAAGUUUAGGGGCUCGAAGACGAUCAGAUACCGUCCUAGUCUCAACCAUAAAUGAUGCCGACCAGGGAUCGGCGGAUGUUACUUAUAGGACUCCGCCGACACCUUAUGAGAAAUCAUAGUCUUUGGGUU
rnacentral:rRNA from 1 species